UGCGUAAAAGAAAGGCUAUUUAAAACAACACAAAAAAAAAAACUUACCGAGUGGUCCGUCAAAGUGCAGAUCGAUGUAAGAAGGAAGAAGUAAGGAAAGAGGAAGAAUAGGAAAAAAAAGAGAACCUUGACGGUACGGCACAAUUAAAUUAACGAUUAAUAAAUGCACUGUAAAAUGCGGCGUGUGGCUGCCACCCGAUCGCUUCUCGACUACUACUACUCUUAUCUCUUAGUAAGAAGAUUACAAAAACCCCUAAAUGAAAAGAGGCGCUAACAUUCCCCCCGACCGUUAAGGAAUGAAGUUAACUAAAACUAAAUUAUCAACUAAAGAAAAGAAAUAUAAGUUCCCUUCCGCAUAAUAAUAAUAAAUAUUAAAUUAAAUUAAACUGCAAGUAAUUGCAUCCACCCAAAGAACAAAUAACUAAAAACAAAAUUAUAGGAUCAAAACGAUCACUGAUUUGGAAGGGGACAUAGACGAACUAUAGGUCGUUUAUAAAGACCAUUGGGAGUUUUGACGCUGGCGACGCGAACUAUCCCAUCCUUGCCAGGAAAGACCUCUUGAACGACCCCUAAUGGCCAAUGCAACGGUGGGGUGUUAUCCGUCCGCAAAACUACGACCGUACCGACCUUUAUUGGAGAAGAUGGCUUAUUCCAUUUUUGACGAACUUGCAAAUUAUGUAGAUAUUCCAUGUGCCAUCGUUUCCAAUACGUUUGCAAAAUUUGAUCGAGCAGUUCUUUUCGGGUUACUAAAUUAGUCGACAUGUCUAAAUUUUGAAUUGGUAGCGAUUGAAGGGGCGUCCCUGUCAAAAAAUGAGCAGGCGUCAAAGCUAACGGCUCGUUAGGAUCCGAGCUGAGCGUACACAAUGGUCGAGAAUUUAAUAAAGCCUCUAUUUGAGUAAUAACCGUCGUAAAUUCUUCAUAAGUCAAAAUUUGGGUGCCAAUAACUUUAGUUAAAUGAGACUUCACACUUUUAAUGUUUGCCUCCCAGAUUCCUCCAAAGUGAGGUGCUGCUGGAGGAUUAAAUUUCCAUACUACAUUUCGUUUUAUCAAUUCAUCAUCAAUACUAGAAUGAUACUCUUGUGAGGUCACAAAUUUUGACAAAUCGUCUAGGGCAGUUUUAGCUCCAAUAAAAUUUGUACCACAAUCGGAAUACAAAACCGAGCAUGGACCACGACGGGAUAAAAAACGUUUAAAGGCAUUAAUAAAAGUCGCAGUGGAUAGGUCAGAAGCCACUUCUAGAUGUAAGGCUUUGGUAACUAAACAAAUAAAUAAGCAUAAAUAAGCUUUCUGGCUUUUUACACCUCUACGACGAGUCAGAGUGAUAUAGAAAGGUCCGGCAUAAUCUACACCACUGUGCAAAAAUGGUUUCGCUUCUGUAAUUCUAGGAGCGGGCAAAUCCGCCAUACAUGGGAAAGUUGCGCGAGGACGAAAUUUAAAGCAAUAAUUACAGUUGCGAAUGCGAUGUCUAACAACAUUUCGUGCAGCUAGAAUCCAAAAUUUCUGACGCAACAACGACAGUGUAAGAUGCGGACCAGUAUGUAAAUUACGUUGGUGAAAAUAGUCUAUUAAGAGAUCCACCAAGUGGUCUUUUUUGGGCAGCAAAAACGGAUGCUGCUGAUCAUAUUCUAAAUUUGAGUUUGAUAGACGUCCUCCUACUCUAAUAACUCCAUCUUUAAGAAACGGACAUAAGGCACGAAUUUUAGGCGAACAAGGUUUAUUUUGCUCUAACAAAGCUAAAUCUGAAGCAAAAUGUUCUCUUUGGACAAGUCUAACUAGCGUUAAUUCAGCGGUUUCUAAGUCUUUGAGUGUAAUAGGAUUUCCUUUUGGCAAUAACUUAAGAAAUCUGAGAACAUAUACAACUGCAUUGCGCAAUUUACUAUACGAAGACGAUCUAUCUAUAAGUUGUCGUAAAGGGUUGACACAACGUGAGAAAGUGACGAGAACUAUCGGUUUCUCUUCGAGUGGAGGUUCGUCUGUAUUAGUUGAAGAGUUAAUAGGCCAUAACUGUUCGUCCAUAAAUAACCAAUUAGGACCAGUUAGCCAAAUCGGGUGGUUUAAAAGGUGCGCCGGUGUUAGACCCCUAGAAAUUGGGUCGGCUGGGUUUUCCUUCCCAUCGACAUGAUACCAAUUAACCGACGGCACUAAUUCUUGAAUUUUUGCCACGCGAUUUGCUACAAAAGUAUGCCAACGAUGAGGAGAUGCGUUUAUCCAGUUAAGUACGACCGAAGAAUCAGUCAGAGCAACAAUGUUUUCUAUAAUUAAUCGCGAUUGGAAAGUGCUUUCUACAAAAUGGAUCAGUCUAGCUAAAAGAAGCGCAGCACAAAGCUCUAAUCUGGGUAUCGAAAGUGACUUUAACGGAGCAACUUUUGAUCUAGCACAAAUGAUUCUAACAGUAGGUACCUUUUCUGGAACUUUUACAUACACUACCGCUCCAUAACCCUUUUCUGAUGCGUCUGCAAAUCCAACAAUUGUCACAGGUAAAUUACUACAAGUUCCUAAAUGACGCGGAAUUUCAAAGUUUUCCAAAAGAUGCAACUCUCCUUUUAAAAGACUCCAAAUUUUUUGUAUAUCAGCCGAUACAGGAUCGUCCCAACCAAGUUUUUGAACCCAAAUUUCCCGAAUCAAUAAUUUUGCAUAUAAGGUAACGGGAGCCAACAAUCCUAAAGGAUCCCAAAUGCGAGCAAUUAUUGACAAAAUAUUCCGUUUCGUACAUUCUAUGUCAGGAACACUAAUUUUAAAACCAAGCAAGUCGGUUUGCGGAUGCCACUGAAAACCUAAGACCUUCAAGGAAUCAUUGCUAAAUUCAACGGGCUGAAAGCAGCGUUCCGAUUCUAAAAUUUCUGACAAUAAUUCAUUAGAGUUUGUUGUCCAUUUGGUUAAGCUAAACCCCCCGGCCCUAAACAAACCAAUUAAAUCGCGAUACAACGCAAUAGCUUCUUCACUGGUAGGAACACUAGUUACAACAUCGUCCAUAUUCGUCCGAGGCAAGUUGCUUAACUGUACGAAGAGCUAAAAAUGGCGAGGCUUUGACUCCAAAAGAGACUACAUUGAUUUCGUAUGUUUGGAGAGGUUCAUUAAUCGAAAAUCGCCAGAGAAUUCUUUGAAAGCAUCGAUGAUCGGGAUUAAGCCAAAUUUGUCUAUACAUCUGACGUACGUCAGCGGUCAUGGCUACAGCAAAUAGUCUAAAAUUCAGUAGCAAAGAAACUAUAUCGGUUUGUAAUUUUUCACCAGUAUAUAAAACAUCGUUCAAAGAAA